rnacentral:rRNA from 1 species
GAUGAACGCUGGCGGCGUGCUUAACACAUGCAAGUCGAACGGAAAGGCCCUGCUUUUGUGGGGUUCUCGAGUGGCGCACGGGUGAGUAACACGUGAGUAUCCUGCCCUUUACUUUGGGAUAUCUUCAGGAAACUGGGGCUACUACCGGAUAGGAGCUCCUGCUGCAUGGUGGGGGUUGGAAAGUUUCGGCGGUUGGGGAUGGACUCGCGGCUUAUUAGCUUGUUGGUGGGGUAGUGGCUUACCAAGGCUUUGGCGGGUAGCCGGCAUGGGAGGUUGAUCGGCCACAUGGGGACUAAGAUACGGCCCAGUCGCCUACGGGAGGCAGCAGUGGGGAAUAUUGCACAAUGAGCGGAAGCCUGAUGCAGCAGCGCCGCGAGCGUGAAGACGGCCUUCGGGUUGUAAACCGCUUUCGCCUGUGACGAAGCGGGAGUGACGGUAAUGAGUAAAGAAGCACCGGCUAACUACGUG